rnacentral:rRNA from 1 species
AUUGAACGCUGGCGGCAGGCCUAACACAUGCAAGUCGAGCGAGCGGCGGACGGGUGAGUAAUGUAUGGGGACUGCCCGAUAGAGGGGGAUAACUACUGGAAACGGUGGCUAAUACCGCAUACUAUCGGCUAACCCAUAUGGGAUUAGCUAGUAGGUGGGGUAAAGGCUCACCUAGGCGACGAUCUCUAGCUGGUCUGAGAGGAUGAUCAGCCACAGUGGGACGGUGCGACGUCCCAGGUUACUACGGAGGGAGAAUUGGGGAAUAUGGCACAAAGGGCGAAAGCCUGAUGCAGCGAGGCCGCGUGGGGGAUGAAGGCUUUCGGGUUGUAAACCUCUGUCGGUAUCGAACGGUUAGGCGGAGAAGAAGCGCCGGCUAACUCCGUGCCAGCAGCCGCGGUAAUUC